UUUGUGUGUGUGUGUGUGUGUGUGUGUGUGUGUGUGUGUGUUUGUUCCUCAGGGACUAUAGUAGUCUGUAAAAUGAUUAGAUCCUGGGCAGAUCUGAUUGGAUAUCACCCUGUGUAACUGAUGUGAUCGGAUACCUCUGCCCUGUGAGGUCUCUGCUGGUUGAUCAUGAACCAUGGCAGGAAAAAUCCCAGGAGAAAUUCCUUGUUAUGGUAGAAAAUAACUCUUUGAAUCCAAGAAUUUACUGUUUUGAAUCAUGACAACUUCACCUCCUCCAUACCAUUCCCUCUUCCCUUUUGUAGAUAGCUAUUCAUUUGUUUUAUCUUACAUGUUUUGUUUAAUUAAGGAAACUUAAAUUGGAAAUUUUCAGUUAUUCUGCUUUAGUUGUAGAAUAAUGUGUUGCAUAAAGCUAUAUUUUGUAAAUAUUUUGUUUUAAAUUGUCAGUGGAUGGCUUUUUGGACUAAACGUAAACCACAAUCGUUCUAGAUUUGUCUGCAAACUGAGUUGUAUAUUCUUAUUUUCAAUCUGUCGUCUGCCAUCUAUUUAAUUGCUGAAUUGUGACAAUAUAUUUGUGUCCAAACUUUUGACUGGUACUCUAUACCUGUAGAUGUCUCUAUAUUUUUGUGAUCUAAUACAGUGGGAGUGGUGUGUGUGUGUGUGGCUCUACUCUAAACAAGGUGCUUGAAAGCCUUACAAAAUGAAAGCUGCUGGGUACAGCGAGAACCCUUUCUAAAAGCACAUUGUCCAGUUCAGUCAAAUUGUAAAAUGUAUUUUAGGGCUGGAUGUUGUAUUGCUUUGAUGCAUCUUCAUUUGUUCACCUCAUUUUGUCGCUAUUGGAAGAACAACUGACAAGGCACAAAAACAUGGUGUUAAAUGGCCACUAGACGUCACUUUGCCUCGGAGAAGCCACUGAGGCAAGUUGGAUGCAGCCUUGUUCUGCCUUUGCCGUCGGGCAUCUUCCUCCCCUUCAGCAGCUCCAUCUGUUACAUGACAUGUUCACAUGAAUGGGCGGGAGACUGUAAAGGGCUUCACCCAACCUAAAUAUUCCUACUAGUUCUGGUAAAAACGUUGUCCACAAUUGUUUUAUUACUUGAAAGUCUGUUUAUCAUUUUUGGAGGAUCAUUUAUGGUAAUAAAAAUGUAUAGUGUGCAUAAAAAA